rnacentral:rRNA from 1 species
UACGUAGGGUGCAAGCGUUGUCCGGAAUUAUUGGGCGUAAAGAGCUCGUAGGCGGUUUGGCGCGUCUGCUGUGAAAACUCGGGGCUCAACUCCGAGCUUGCAGUGGGUACGGGCAGACUAGAGUGCGGUAGGGGAGAGUGGAAUUCCUGGUGUAGCGGUGGAAUGCGCAGAUAUCAGGAGGAACACCGGUGGCGAAGGCGGGUCUCUGGGCCGUAACUGACGCUGAGGCGCGAAAGCAUGGGGAGCGAACAGG